AAUGAUAGAGGCGCGGUUUUCAUCAGUAUGUUUUGCUUCAGACGGACCAUCUGCAAAACAGAAAGGGGAAACUGCCGAAGACAGAUUUCGAGGCCGUGAGAAAGCUGUCUGGGCCGCUCGCAGAAUAUGCGGCGGACUGUCACGGAUGUGGAGUGCUAUCA
rnacentral:ncRNA from 1 species